AUUGAACGCUGGCGGCAGGCUUAACACAUGCAAGUCGGGCGGGGUGAUGGUGCUUGCACUAUCACUUAGCGGCGGACGGGUGAGUAAUGCUUAGGAAUCUGCCUAUUAGUGGGGGACAACAUCUCGAAAGGGAUGCUAAUACCGCAUACGUCCUACGGGAGAAAGCAGGGGAUCACUUGUGACCUUGCGCUAAUAGAUGAGCCUAAGUCGGAUUAGCUAGUUGGUGGGGUAAAGGCCUACCAAGGCGACGAGCUGUAGCGGGUCUGAGAGGAUGAUCCGCCACACUGGGCAUGGGGCACGGCCCAGACUCCUACGGGAGGCAGGAGUGGGGAAUAUUGGAGGAUGGGGGGAACCCUGAUCCAGCCAGGCCGCGCGUGAAGAAGGCCUUAUGGUUGUAAAGCACUUUAAGCGAGGAGGAGGCUCUUUUGGUUAAUACCCAAGAUGAGUGGACGUUACUCGCAGAAUAAGCACCGGCUAACUCUGUGCCAGCAGCCGCGGUAA
rnacentral:rRNA from 1 species